GCCCUGGUGGAUCAGCGUAGAUCAUCCCUAAUUCAUGAUACUGCCAAAAAUUGUCUAGGGAAGAUGGAGGUUCGAAUCCUCCUCAGGGUG